UCUGUUUACAUUUCAAUGCUGUUAAAAUAGUCACGUUAAAAAGAAGCAUUUCUAUUGAUUUUUUUUCCUGGAGGAAAAUUUAAUGGGUGUCUGGGAUUAGGCAAUUCUGACACACAGGCAUGUUUUAUAAGAUCUCUUCAUAUCGUGCCAUAUGCUCUCUUCUCCAGAAAUGUUUUGUUUAAAGUCAUGCUCUUCUGUGGUUAUUACUUUAGAGACUGAUCUUGUAAAUUAUCCACCAUGCAAGCGUGUUGGUAUUCCUCAGUUUCGGGCAGAGGAAGAGUGAGGUUUGUCCUCCGUUUGGUUUCAGUUAUGUUGAUGCUUAAUGUUUGUCUCCUGACUGGAGAGCCUGGGAGAUGACUUCCUUGUAGUCUAGGAGGUUGCACCUGUAUGUUAGUUUGUCCAUAAAGUUCUUUUGUUGUACAUUAAUGUAUUUCAGAAAGUACAAAUCCAGAUGGUGAUUUAGUUUCAACCAACCAGUUGAGCAUAAAGAGUCACAGUUACAGAGUACGCCACUGGUUGGUUGAAACAAAAUCCUGGUCUGGAUUUGUACUUUCUGGACCUGAAAUUUCCACCUCUGAUUUCAAGGUCCUUAUCCAGUCUGUAUCUGCAGUUCCAAAAUGAGAAUUAAGAAAAAUACCUGGUGUGCUUGUUAAAUAUGUUAAACUGAUUGUCAUGAGACGCAGUGUGUUGUGAAGCGUGUUAGACAUUUGAAUACUACAGUUUGCUGAAGCAUAAAAUUUUUGGACUGUAGGAACAGUGUAUCUGGUGGAAUCCUAAAAGAAGGAAGAACUGAUGAGCUGGGGUGGGAUUUGAACCAACAACCUUGGAAAUCGCUGUGUGGACACACUCCUUCGCCUUGGGCUGCUAGCGGAAAGGAGAGCAUGUUUCCUUGUGCCGGAUGGAGUUUGCUGCAGAUCACGGUCCUCCUCAGAAUUUUGUUACCAUUCUGCGAAAAGUUUGCAGAGUUCCGUUGGUUGGAUCAACUGCAAUCCCGCAUUCGUCAGCGGUACAAAAACCCAAGAAGUCUUGAAGUUGCUCUUGCGUGACAUGAUUUCCAAUAUUCUUCACUGCGACUCGAGCUAUAACUUCCUAGCUCGGCUUCCUGAUCAGGUCAAGCAUGUGCAUACAGCAGUAAAGGGGAAGGUAGGGGCCCGUAAAAGUGACUGGGGGAGAGUUAUGGGUUGGAGGCCAGCAGGAGUUGGAUCAAAUGGGGAAACUGAGUCACAAGAGAGGUCUUGUGACGAGCCAAUCCUGCGUGGAUGCAGGAUCUCACACAGAGCACAGUAUGUGCACAUACACACAGGCACAUAUGUGGACACCUUCUGAGCCAGGACCCCUUGCUAAUCACUGGUGACGCAAGCCCAGCCUCACACGAGUUGUAUUUAUUGUUUUAUAGCAUACAGCAG